rnacentral:siRNA from 1 species
AUCUAUCAAGUACACAGGACAUA